rnacentral:rRNA from 1 species
AACGCGAAGAACCUUACCAGGUCUUGACAUCCCCUGACAACCCGAGAGAUCGGGCGUUCCCCUUCGGGGGACAGGGUGACAGGUGGUGCAUGGUUGUCGUCAGCUCGUGUCGUGAGAUGUUGGGUUAAGUCCCGCAACGAGCCGCAACCCUCGACCUUAGUUGCCAGCAUUCAGUUGGGCACUCUAAGGUGACUGCCGGCUAAAAGUCGGAGGAAGUGGGGAUGACGUCAAAUCAUCAUGCCCCUUAUGACCUGGGCUACACACGUGCUACAAUGGGCGGUACAAAGGGUCGCGAACCCGCGAGGGGGAGCCAAUCCCAAAAAGCCGCUCUCAGUUCGGAUUGCAGGCUGCAACUCGCCUGCAUGAAGCCGGAAUCGCUAGUAAUCGCGGAUCAGCAUGCCGCGGUGAAUACGUUCCCGGGCCUU